AUAUUCUCUGAAUUACUCUGUUUAAAUACUCAGGUGGUUUAUGUUAUCUGGUUAGACCUGAUUAACACAGCAAACUAAGCAUUUAACUCUUCAUUCUAAAAUGGUGUUUUGGAUGCAGUGUGAAUAAAAUAAGUAAUAUUUGAAUAUAUUUUCCAUUUUCUUUGUGAAAUAAAGGGACUUCUGGUCCUGCUAGUUGGGGGUCUUCCAUUCCCCUUUAGGGGAUUUGCUUAUUGGAAGAUACAUUUUUAUCAUGAUAAACGUUGGACUAGUUGUGAGAUCAUGCUCAUAGAAAGAAGUGUAUGGGUCUGUUUUAUCUGCAGGAAAUUUUUUUAAAAAGAUAUAUUUUAAGAAAUAUCAUUAUGUGCUACAUUUAUGUUCUUUAACAAUGUAAAAUAAAUAAGAGUUGUUUUAAAAGGAAUGUUUGUGGUACUGUGUAUCUUUGAACAUAUGUAUCACAUGGGUUAUUCUAGAGGAAACAAGAACUGUUGCUCAUAAUGGAAGUAGUGAUGGUUUAUUGCAAAAACACUUUUUCAUUCUAUUCCAUCUGUUCUGCCUUCCUUCACUCGGUCUCCUUUUUCUUUUCUUUUUUGUAAUUUUGUUUUUUUAACAGGUGAUUUUUUAUUUAGAAGUUUUGAAACCAAAGUUAUGGUUAAUUCUGAAAAUAUAUUUAACAAUAAUAUUAAUAGAUAACAUUUAUUUUCUGCUGAUUACAUGACAGGUACUGGUACACAUGCCUCAUAAAUAAGACCUUAUUGAAUGCCCACCAGGAUCCUCUGAGCUCAGCAACAUUAUUGUCCUCAUUUCAUAGCAGAAAGAACAGGUUUAGAGGUCAAAUUGAAACUCUGCAUUCUGACUUCAAGUACUAAGCUUUUAGCUAUUAUGCUAAGCAGAAAAUGCCAGGAUUUACUGAAUAUUAUGAAAAUAUACUUGAAAAAAUAAUGUUUCAUCGAAAUAAAGGAAAAGAAGGUAUUAAGUUGACUUCACCAAAUUGGGACAACCCCCACCAUCACCACCACUGCCAUCAAAGAAAUAGCUAUGGACAAUUCAUUUCAUAGAAGUAGAGAGUUGAGAAGCAAAUAUUUUAUUUUUAUCAACUGGUAUUCCAUACUGCCUCAUUUUGUGAAUUAAAAGCAAAUCAUUCAUUGAUAAUGAUAUAUGCCACUUUUUUAUUCUAAGAAGCUAAGAAUAUUUAAUUUCUUUCUACUUCAGAUUUUUUAUUACAAAGUUUAAAGAAAAAGAAUCAUAAUGCCCACCAUUGCCCCACCAUGCCCACCAUUGCCCCAUGUUAUAAAUAAGAUCUGUUAAAACAUUUUGAUCUCUUGUGAUAAAGAUUAUUAAGUAUACAAUGCCAUUAUUAACCACACAUUGAUUUCAAGAUGCCCAUAUUGAAUAACUUUAAACUUUAG
rnacentral:lncRNA from 12 species